UACGUAGGGUGCGAGCGUUAAUCGGAAUUACUGGGCGUAAAGCGUGCGCAGGCGGUUUUGUAAGACAGAUGUGAAAUCCCCGGGCUUAACCUGGGAACUGCAUUUGUGACUGCAAGACUAGAGUGCGGCAGAGGGGGGUAGAAUUCCACGUGUAGCGGUGAAAUGCGUAGAUAUGUGGAGGAAUCCCGAUGGCGAAGGCAGCCCCCUGGGUCGCCACUGUCGCUCAUGCACGAAAGCGUGGGGAGCAUUCUGG
rnacentral:rRNA from 1 species